rnacentral:rRNA from 1 species
CACGUAGUUAGCCGGCGCUUCUUCUGCAGGUACCGUCACUUCCGCUUCUUCCCUGCUGAAAGAGGUUUACAACCCGAAGGCCGUCAUCCCUCACGCGGCGUCGCUGCAUCAGGCUUGCGCCCAUUGUGCAAUACUCCCCACUGCUGCCUCCCGUAGGAGUCUGGGCCGUGUCUCAGUCCCAGUGUGGCCGGUCACCCUCUCAGGCCGGCUACCCGUCGUCGCCUUGGUAGGCCAUUACCCCCACCAACCAGCUGAUAGGCCGUGAGCCCAUCUAAGACCAGUACAUAACCCUUUCCACCACCAGCCCAUGCGGGCAGUAGUCGCAUCCGGUAUUAGACCCCAGUUUCCCAGGCUUAUCCCAGAGUCCAAAGGCAGGUCACUCACGUAUUACUCACCCGUUCGCCACUCAUCCACCCGGUGCAAGCACCAGGCUUCAGCGUUCGACUUGCAUGUGUUAAGCACGCCGCCAGCGUCGUCUGAGCAGGAUCAACUCUC